rnacentral:rRNA from 1 species
UACGUAGGGGGCUAGCGUUGUCCGGAAUCAUUGGGCGUAAAGCGCGUGUAGGCGGUCCGGUAAGUCCGCUGUGAAAGUCGGGGGCUCAACCCUCGAAAGCCGGUGGAUACUGUCGGACUAGAGUGCGGAAGAGGCGAGUGGAAUUCCUGGUGUAGCGGUGAAAUGCGCAGAUAUCAGGAGGAACACCAAUUGCGAAGGCAGCUCGCUGGGACGUUACUGACGCUGAGGCGCGAAAGCUAGGGUAGCAAACGGG